UAGGGAAUCUUCGGCAAUGGGGGGAACCCUGACCGAGCAACGCCGCGUGAGUGAAGAAGGUUUUCGGAUCGUAAAGCUCUGUUGUUAAGGAAGAACGAGUGUGAGAAUGGAAAGUUCAUGCUGUGACGGUACUUAACCAGAAAGGGACGGCUAACUACGUGCCAGCAGCCGCGGUAAUACGUAGGUCCCGAGCGUUGUCCGGAUUUAUUGGGCGUAAACCGAGCGCAGGCGGUUAGAUAAGUCUGAAGUUAAAGGCAGUGGCUCAACCAUUGUAGGCUUUGGAAACUGUUUAACUUGAGUGCAGAAGGGGAGAGUGGAAUUCCAUGUGUAGCGGUGAAAUGCGUAGAUAUAUGGAGGAACACCGGUGGCGAAAGCGGCUCUCUGGUCUGUAACUGACGCUGAGGCUCGAAAGCGUGGGGAGCGAACAGG
rnacentral:rRNA from 1 species